GACGAACGCUGGCGGCGUGCUUAACACAUGCAAGUCGAACGGAAGGGCCUCUUUCGGGGGGUACUCGAGUGGCGAACGGGUGAGUAACACGUGAGUAACCUGCCCUUGACUUUGGGAUAACUUCAGGAAACUGGGGCUAAUACCGGAUAGGAGCUCCUGCUGCAUGGUGGGGGUUGGAAAGUUUCGGCGGUUGGGGAUGGACUCGCGGCUUAUCAGCUUGUUGGUGGGGUAGUGGCUUACCAAGGCUUUGACGGGUAGCCGGCCUGAGAGGGUGACCGGCCACAGUGGGACUGAGAUACGGCCCAGACUCCGACGGGAGGCAGCAGUGGGGAAUAUUGCACAAUGGGUGGAAGCCUGAUGCAGCAACGCCGUGUGCGGGAUGACGGCCUUCGGGUUGUAAACCGCUUUCGCUCAUGACGAAGCUUUGUGUGACGGUAGUGGGUAAAGAAGCACCGGCUAACUACGUG
rnacentral:rRNA from 1 species